UACGAAGGGGGCUAGCGUUGUUCGGAAUUACUGGGCGUAAAGCGCGCGUAGGCGGAUUUGCAAGUCAGGGGUGAAAUCCCGGGGCUCAACCUCGGAACUGCCCUUGAUACAGCAAAUCUUGAGUCCGGAAGAGGUGAGUGGAAUUCCUAGUGUAGAGGUGAAAUUCGUAGAUAUUAGGAAGAACACCAGUGGCGAAGGCGGCUCACUGGUCCGGUACUGACGCUGAGGUGCGAAAGCGUGGGGAGCAAACAGG
rnacentral:rRNA from 1 species